rnacentral:rRNA from 1 species
ACAAGCGAAUAAGUGCACAUGGUGGAUGCCUUGGCGAUUACAGGCGAUGAAGGACGUAGUAGCUUGCGAUAAGCUGCGGGGAGUGAGCAAACACACUUUGAUCCGCAGAUUUCCGAAUGGGGAAACCCGGCCCUUUGGGUCAUUGCAUACUGAAUACAUAGGUAUGCAAAGCGAACGCGGCGAACUGAAACAUCUAAGUAGCUGCAGGAAAAGAAAUCAACCGAGAUUCCCAAAGUAGUGGCGAGCGAAAUGGGAAGAGCCUGUACGUGAUAGUCGAUCAGAUAGUGGAACAACCUGGAAAUGUUGGCCAUAGAGGGUGAUAGCCCCGUAUAGGUAAAUUAUGUUAUAAUUCUUGAGUAAGGCGGGACACGAGAAAUCCUGUUUGAAUAUGGGGGGACCACCCUCCAAGCCUAAGUACUCUCUAGCGACCGAUAGUGAACAAGUACCGUGAGGGAAAGGUGAAAAGAACCUCGAAAGAGGAGUGAAAUAGAAUCUGAAACCAAAUGCUUACAAGCAGUCGGAGCAAUUAAUUUUUUGAACCAGGUCUUAGUCAAAUUUGGCCUGAGUUCGUAUAUAUAAAUUUUGUGACGGCGUACCUUUUGUAUAAUGGGUCAGCGAGUUAGUUUAUCGAGCAAGCUUAAGCCGUUAGGUGUAGGCGUAGCGAAAGCGAGUGUGAAUAGCGCGACUUAGUUCGAUGAAUUAGACCCGAAACCGGGUGAUCUAGCCAUGGCCAGGCUGAAGGCAGAGUAAAAUCUGUUGGAGGGCCGAACCCACUGAUGUUGCAAAAUCACGGGAUGAGCUGUGGCUAGGGGUGAAAGGCCAAUCAAACUCGGAUAUAGCUGGUUCUCCGCGAAAACUAUUUAGGUAGUGCGUUGGAUGGUUACCGUCGAGGGUAGAGCACUGGAUGAGCUAGGGGGUUUACCGACUUACCGAUCUCAACCAAACUCCGAAUAUCGAUGAGUAUAGUCCAAUAGACAGACUAUGGGUGCUAAGGUCCAUAGUCGAAAGGGAAACAGCCCAGACCGCCAUCUAAGGUCCCCAAAUUGUAGCUAAGUGUAAAAGGAUGUGGAAAGACCAUGACAGCUAGGAAGUUGGCUUAGAAGCAGCCAUCUUUUAAAGAAAGCGUAAUAGCUCACUAGUCUAGACAAGUUUUUCUGCGCCGACAAUGUAACGGGGCUAAAGCUACAUACCGAAGAUGCGGAUUUACAUCAAAUGAUGUAAGUGGUAGCGGAGCGUUCUGUAAGCCUGUGAAGGUAAACCGCGAGGUUUGCUGGAGGUAUCAGAAGUGAGAAUGCUGACAUGAGUAGCAGUAAAGAAUGUGAGAAACAUUCUCGCCGAAAGUCCAAGGUUUCCUGUUUAAAGAUAAUCUGAACAGGGUUAGUCGGCCCCUAAGGCGAGGCUGAAAGGCGUAGUCGAUGGGAAUCAGGUUAAUAUUCCUGAACCAGAGGGUAGUGACGGAUAUAAAAUUAUGUAUAUGCUUAAUGGAUUGUGUAUGCAUAACAAGUGUCCCAGGAAAUAGCUCCCUCAAUUAAUGACCGUACUCCAAACCGACUCAGGUGGACAAGUAGAGUAUACUAAGGCGAGUGAGAUAACGACACUGAAGGAACUAGGCAAAUUGCAUCCGUAACUUCGGAAGAAGGAUGACCCAUGAGAGGGCAACCUUUUGUGGGUGGCACAAAACAGGGGGUAGCGACUGUUUAUUAAAAACACAGGACUUUGCAAACUCAAUAGAGGAAGUAUAAGGUCUGACGCCUGCCCAGUGCUGGAAGAUUAAGAGGAGGGGUGCAAGCUCUGAAUUUAAGUCCCAGUGAACGGCGGCCGUAACUAUGACGGUCCUAAGGUAGCGAAAUUCCUUGUCGGGUAAGUUCCGACCCGCACGAAUGGCGUAACGAUUUCCCCGCUGUCUCCAGUGUCGACUCAGCGAAAUUGAAUUCUCCGUGAAGAUGCGGAGUUCCCGUGGUUAGACGGAAAGACCCCGUGCACCUUUACUACAACUUUACAUUGGUAUUAGAAAUGACAUGUGUAGCAUAGGAGGGAGACUU